GACGAACGCUGGCUGCGUGCCUAAUACAUGCAAGUCGAGCGAAUGGAUGGGAGCUUGCUCCCUGAAGUUAGCGGCGGACGGGUGCGUAACACGUGGGCAACAUGCCUGUAAGACUGGGAUAACUCCGGGAAACCGGAGCUAAUACCGGAUACAUUCUUUCUUCGCCUGAAGAAAGAUGGAAAGAUGGGUUCGGCUAUCACUUACCGAUGGGCCCGCGGCGGAUUAGCUAGUUGGUGAGGUAACGGCUCACCAAGGCAACGAUGCGUAGCCGACCUGAGAGGGUGAUCGGCCACACUGGGACUGAGACACGGCCCAGACUCCUACGGGAGGCAGCAGUAGGGAAUCUUCCGCAAUGGACGAAAGUCCGACGGAGCAACGCCGCGUGAACGAUGAAGGCUUUCGGGUCGUAAAGUUCUGUUGUUAGGGAAGAACAAGUACCAGAGUAACUGCUGGUACCUUGACGGUACCUAACCAGAAAGCCACGGCUAACUGCGUGCCAGCCGCCGCGGUAAUAC
rnacentral:rRNA from 1 species